UUCACACUUCUAGUGGCAAACCUAUCUGGAUGAGAGCAGCUACAAAAAUAAAACAUUUUAAACAUUGAUGAACAGAUAUAUCAAUCCAUCCAUUUUCUUAGCCGCUUAUCCUCACAAGGGUCACGGGACUGCUGGAGCCUUUCCCAGCUGUCAACGGGCAAGAGGCAAGGAAACCGGAGUGCCCGGAGAAAACCCCAGGCAGACACAGGGAGAACAUGCAAACUACUCACAAGCGGGUCCGGGAUUGAGCCCGGGACCUCAGUGUGGGCAACGCUUUCCAGCUAAGGCACUGUGCCACCGUGAACAAAUACAUGUUUGGCAUAAUCAGGGGAUAAUUUGAGCUCCAAAAAGGUUUUUCCCGAAUUACCUCUGCGUCUCCCGUGUACUUCUGCAUUUGGGUCCUACCUCCGUUCCGAUGGGUCGUGACAAAAACAUGCAAACCCACAUCGACUUCCAACAUAAAAGACAGCGAAGAAAAGAGUUCCUUUCCAACAAGAGUGAAUUCAGAGCACAAGAGGCUGCAGAUUGUUACAAGAUCGCAAGGACACUUAUUCAUGUGAAACGGGCAAACGAAAGAAUAAAAAGUUUCGAGAUAUUGGGUCACAUAUCUGCCCCAUACAGACCCGUGCAACAACUUUAGUAAACUUACAACCACCAUUGCUAAAAGCUAUAUCAGAAGCUGGAAGAAUGCAAAUAAUUACUGUACAAGAAGUUAAGUAUUAAAAGCUGUGUAGAUUAUCAACCAGAUGAUUGAUCUUCCGAUAUAUAUUUAGGAUAAAUUGCAUUUAUUUUAGAUGUGAAAAUAGAUUAAAUGUUGAGUGCCAAAUUUUACGUUAUAAAUGUAAUCUGUAUACAGUCUCUGUGCUAUUAGUCAGUAUUUUCUAUUUUAAACUGCAUUCUUUAAAAUGUCUUAUGUAAUGAUUUAGAACUAACACACCACGUUCAUUACAGAAGUUGAAUCUGUGUUCCAACGUAUGUACAAUCAGCAGUACAAACAAUCAAAUAAAAACAUUGUUUUCUUUAAACAUGUCAUGACCCAUCGAUACGGAGGUAGGACCCAAAUGCAGGAGUCGGGAGAUGCAGAGGUAAUUCGGAGAUGUCGCCACCUCCUGGAGAGCAACGUGAGGCGGCGGCGGAUCGGUCUCCACUGCC